rnacentral:rRNA from 1 species
GUCUACGGCCAUACCACCCUGAACGCGCCCGAUCUCAGAAGCUAAGCAGGGUCGGGCCUGGUUAGUACUUGGAUGGGAGAAAAGGUUUAUUUUUGACUUGAAGCUUUGGAGGUUCCAGUCU